GAUGAAGAACGUAGCGAAAUGCGAUAAGUAAUGUGAAUUGCAGAAUUCAGUGAAUCAUCGAAUCUUUGAACGCACAUUGCGCCCCUUGGUAUUCCGAGGGGCAUGCCUGUUCGAGCGUCAUUAUAACCCCUCAAGCUCAGCUUGGUGUUGGGGCCUGCUGCACUGGCAGCCCUUAAAAUCAGUGGCGGCGCCAUCUGGCUCUAAGCGUAGUAAUUCUUCUCGCUAUGGAGUCCUGGUGGAUGCUUGCCAUCAACCCCCAAUUUUUCUAUGGUUGACCUCGGAUCAGGUAGGGAUACCCGCUGAACUUAAGCAUAUCAGUAAGCGGAGGA
rnacentral:misc_RNA from 1 species